GGUGAGUAACACGUGGGCAAUCUGCCCUUCACUCUGGGACAAGCCCUGGAAACGGGGUCUAAUACCGGAUAACACUGCCACGGGCAUCUGUGGUGGUUAAAAGCUCCGGCGGUGAAGGAUGAGCCCGCGGCCUAUCAGCUUGUUGGUGAGGUAAUGGCUCACCAAGGCGACGACGGGUAGCCGGCCUGAGAGGGCGACCGGCCACACUGGGACUGAGACACGGCCCAGACUCCUACGGGAGGCAGCAGUGGGGAAUAUUGCACAAUGGGCGAAAGCCUGAUGCAGCGACGCCGCGUGAGGGAUGACGGCCUUCGGGUUGUAAACCUCUUUCAGCAGGGAAGAAGCGAAAGUGACGGUACCUGCAGAAGAAGCGCCGGCUAACUACGUGCCAGCAGCCGCGGUAAUACGUAGGGCGCAAGCGUUGUCCGGAAUUAUUGGGCGUAAAGAGCUCGUAGGCGGCUUGUCACGUCGGGUGUGAAAGCCCGGGGCUUAACCCCGGGUCUGCAUUCGAUACGGGCUAGCUAGAGUGUGGUAGGGGAGAUCGGAAUUCCUGGUGUAGCGGUGAAAUGCGCAGAUAUCAGGAGGAACACCGGUGGCGAAGGCGGAUCUCUGGGCCAUUACUGACGCUGAGGAGCGAAAGCGUGGGGAGCGAACAGGAUUAGAUACCCUGGUAGUCCA
rnacentral:rRNA from 1 species